CCAAUCACAAAAGACGACCCAUUUAUAUGAUUCCAUUCAUCUGAAAUAUCCAUAACGGGAAAAUCUGUAAAUUCAGAAAAUAGAUUCUUGGUUUCUUGGGACUGGAAGUGGAUGGAGUGAUAAGAAAAUUGCUGAAAGGGGAAAAAGUGAAAUUGGAUUUCUACAUCACACCUCACAAAAAUCAACUUCAGGUGGAUUGAAGACUUUCGUGUGGAAGGGAAAACUUUAAGAAUGAAAGAGAAUAUCUUUCACCCGUGGGGGCAGGGAAGAAUUUCUUAAGCGACUGUAUAAUACUAUAUGGUGGAGACAUGUCAUUUUACAUCUGUCCAAGUCCACUGAAUGUACACCACUAAGAAUGAAUAUUCAGAGGACAUUUGGACACACAGAGAGACACCAGGAAUGCCUGAGCACAGACAAAAGACCAUGUGAGGACACAGAGAAGAGGCAGCCAUCUGCAAGCCAAGGAGAGAAGCCUCAGAAGGAAUCAACCUGCUGACG